GAACCACAGGCACUUUUCAGCACGGUGCCAUAUUUCCAACCCAAGGCUUCCCUUUCCUAAGGUGCUGAAUGAAAACCGGUGUUUUGACCAUCUCCAGUUCACUGCAUCAGGGGAAGAGACUGAUGGGAGAGAAGUUUCACGGAGGAAGCUUGUCAGGUUCCAGCAAGCACACCGUGUUCUCCCCAUCUGUACUUGCUGCUGCCAUCAGCUCUAAACCAUAGGAGGAAGAAUGAUACUUGACUGAUCCUUGGGUGGCAAGAAUAUGAAACCAUAAUGAUUGUUAAGACCAGUCUCUCCAUGGUUGUCUGAGAACAACAUUUGAGAUUAUUUACAUCAACUUCCAGAAGACAGUCUCCUGACAUAUUAGGAUAAUAUAAUCAAUUACAUGGCCUGCUUCUGAUGGGACAUUGCCAAGAUCACUACAGUGGAAGAUUGCCCGCCCUGCAGCUGCCCCUCGUUCUCUGUUCACUCUUGUGGGAGGAAAAUGGCCUGUGCACGAAGAUGAGCACUAGGGAAGUCAGAAAAGUUAAACACAUAGCUGACCUCUUCAACAGAAUGAGGUACAUAGCUGCUCUUCCUGGAAUGUCAGGAAGUUUUACAACCUGGGGGUCUUUGCUGUCCGAUGAGACAGGCUUUGCCAUAUCUCCCAAUUCAUGUUUUUAAAAAACUCAUUCUUGACAUUUCCCCCUAAAUCUUGAGCAUUGAUUUUAGACCAUAAACCUAUUUUUAUGAAUGAUGUCACUUGUGCUUUGCCACAGCCAAAGUGACUUCCGUGUUAUCUUAGGGCCAGGACAAUGCUGACACCCACAGGCAUCAUGUUUACCUCAGUCAAGAUCCCUAGGGUCUAAACCUUGGCCACUAUCUAUGUGUCCAUAGUACCCACUCUUGUGAAAGAAGCCAGAUAUACUUUGUAAAGAAUCUCAAUGUAAACAUGUCUUAAAUUGUUGUGCACUCAGGGCUGAGUUAAUUGUUAUCUGAAUACCCUUUGUUCCCCCCAAAUUGUGUUAAAUAUCAUCUGUGCUUAAAUAUGUGCUUAAAAUGAUCUGGGCCAGACUCUGGAAAUCCUGGUCUAGCGCUGGUUACAAUCAAAUUGGGCUGAGCCAAGUUUCACUUUUAGCUCACGGUGACGUUUUCCCCCUGCCUGCUGUCAAGCUUGCGGGGGACUCGCCACACCCCCUCCCACUCCUGUGCACAUCACAGGUUUGCCAUUCCUCUUAGAGAGAAACCUGGAAUAUUUUUUUUUCUGACUUCAUGGGUUCCACACAGUUAGAUCCUGCCUGCCUGGGCCUUGGCAUGAGCUCUUUAGCCAUGUACAUUCUGACCCCCCCACCCCACUAAGGGUGAGUAGUAGCCUGUCUCCAUCACAGGCCAUUGCUCUGAAAAUCUGCACAGCUUCAUUUUCUCUCUUUUCCCAGGUUCAGCGGGACAUCGUUCUGCAUGGCUGGGUGAUUAUGUCCUUUAUCUACCUAGGUUUAAUCAACCCGAGGACAGGGUUAGGGGUCAUUCUGCCCUUUGAUAACCCUGUACCUGUCACAUGGUUAGCAAACAAUACACACUCAUGAAAUAAUUGCAUCAAUCAAUGGUAGGUUUUAUAGGACCUGAGGUACCUGGUACCUGUUCCAUUUGUGACCACUAUUAACUGCUCCCCUGACCAACAGACCUGGGGGUGGUGGGGAUUGUUCCACACUGAGGUGUCUAGGCCAGUCACUAAAGUCAGCUACAUGACUUGCCAUGUGCUGUUUUGUGUAUGCCACUUGUUAGAUGCCUACUGUAAUCUUGUGAAUUAGGUUCUAUUUUUAAUCCAUUUUUCUCAGCUAGAAACUGAGGAACAGAACGAUCGAAUACGUUUCCCCAGAAGACAGAGCAGUGCUGUGGUUUGAAUUCUACCUCGAGAGCCCGCACACCACGCCACCUAUUUCCCUUCAGAAAUGAGACAGAAUAAAAUAAGGGAAAAAUACGAUAAAAUUUUGUGUUUAAAAAGCUACAAUAUAAAUUAUUUAUAAAAUGGAUUUCUUCAUAGAUAUAUAUUUUAUGGGAUUUUUACAAGG